UCUCCGUCUUAUGCCCAUCAGAUUCAUGUGCAUUCCAUGUAUGUGCCAAUCAACAAACUGAAGAGAACAGCUGUUGGAGAAAAAUGAUAGUGUGCAAGGCUGUGAAAGUAUGGGUGCCCCCCCCAACAGAUUCCUUAAGGACCUACUCCACGAUCUUUCCAGGCCCUUCUUCUGUCUCCCUCCUUGACAGAGACAUAGACCUAUUCCUGACAUUCUGGAGGGAGACUGUCCUGUUGCUAUUUCCUGUUAACUGCUCUUAGGUUUUGAAGUAUGGAUGCUCUUCUUAUCGCAAAGAAAAUUCUUUUCCUUAUCUUCGUGGAGCUGAAUGAGGGAAGACUUCUUCGUUUCCUGUUUCAACUCUUUAUCUCAACAUUUAAUUCAUGGAUCCUGUACCAGCUGGCUUCCCCACUGAUGGCACCCAGCCAGCAUCUUGCUGCACCUCAAACGCAGGGCAAUUGAAAUUAGCAUUUGUUUCCAUGAGAGUUGUCUUCUGUGCCAGCUUUUCACUUUGUUUUGCAUUAUGUUUCACAGCUGAGAAAUGAUUUUCGUAAGUAAAUGCACACGGAAGCCAGUCUUCUUGACUGGUAUCUCUUUUUGUCUUAGGAAGGUAACUUUUCCCACUGUGCCCUACUGGGGAUCCUAAAAAUGGAUAAAGUGUCUGCACAUGUUGCUUUGCCAGCCUGUUUCAACAUGUAUGAAAAGUUGCAGCAGGAAAACCAGGAUACACUUUCCAUCCUGAAGCAUGGGGAAAAAAAAAUCCUGGAAAUUCCAUAAUGGGAAUUUUUUAACCGAGAACAAAGGCCUGACUUUGUAGAUAGGCAUCUUGAUGUAACCUCAUGUAAAGCAGCUAAUGCACAGGAACAAAUACAAA